rnacentral:lncRNA from 1 species
CAAAAUUGCAGGGAUACAGUGCCCAGGAAUCAGGCUUUUGAAGAUUGCUUUUCUUAAAAGCAGUAAUUACCCUGAGAUCUCUGCUUGUAAAUGAGCUCAGAACUGUCUCAAAACUAUGAACUCACCAGAAUAGCCAUAUGCUAAUGGGAGCUGGAAGCAAAAGGUGAAGAGGAAAGAGGAGAAGUAGAGUCAGACUCAAGAGAGCAAUGAAGACACUGACAAAGCAAUGAAGAGAAUCAAUGGCAAAAUUCUAAGAGAGAUGGGCACCACAAGGAAUGAGAAUUUGUUACUGUUAGAACCUUUGCAGACAUUGUCAAGCUGUGGGACUGGAGCAGGAUUGGACAGUCAGAGCGAGUGAGCAGCUGGAGGAGAGGAACACAGUUACAUCAGGAGUGGCUUGAAAGUGUGGAGUCUUGAAACUAAAGACAAAAAGAAGUCAUCACCAGACUUUGAGCAGAGGAGAAGAGAUGAUCCAUAUUUGCUCAAGUCACUUGUGGUAGUGUAUGGACAGCAAAUUAGAAGGGG